rnacentral:rRNA from 1 species
AUGUUCAGUAUGGUUUGGGUGGUGACGAAUGGCAGGAGGAGGAGGCGGAGCAGGAGGAGGAGGGGAGGUGGGUGGUGGAGGCUCAGGGAGGAGGUACCCAUAACUGCCAACUGUGUCGUCUGCCAGAUCACCUGUAACACUGGACCCUGGAGGGGCGCUGGGGCAGCAACGCGAAGGGUAUCUGUGGGGUCGAGAUCGCUAUGGAACAGGAUCAUUGGGGCCAGUGAGUUGAGCUGGUCAGCGGCAGCUGCGUCGAAGCAGCUUGAGGAUUGGAGGUCAACAAUGGCGGCAAUGAAAAGCAGUGGCCCUGCCUUUUCGUCAAAAAAAAAAAUGGCGGCAACUCUUGGGUGGUGGGCAGAAUGCCUCGCGCAUUAUUUUUGUGGUUGGGAUGUAGGCACUGUCAUAUUCAACCCAUCUAUCUCAAUUACAAGUUGUCAUGUAAUCCAAGCUUUUUGGAAGUGA